rnacentral:rRNA from 1 species
UACGUAGGGGGCAAGCGUUGUCCGGAAUCAUUGGGCGUAAAGGGCGCGUAGGCGGCCACCGCAAGUCGACUGUGAAAUCUCCGGGCUUAACCCGGAAAGGUCAGCCGAUACUGCGGGGCUAGAGUGCAGAAGGGGCAACUGGAAUUCUCGGUGUAGCGGUGAAAUGCGCAGAUAUCGGGAGGAACGACCGGUGGCGAAGGCGGUUCUCUGGGCCUGUGCUGACGCUGAGGAGCGAAAGCGUGGGGAGCGAACAGG